CUUGGAGUAGCUUACUGGACGCACGAACAACAAGGAGUUAUUUGGACAUAAAUUAUGGACUUUAUCGAACAAAACACAAUUUGUUGUGGACCUGGGAUUCCUGGAAGUGCCUUCUGAUGAAGAUGAUCAAAGAUUCACCCAAAAUGCAUGCCCAUUGACGACAUGUGGACAACGUACACAAUGGCCGUUAAUACGAUUCCAAUGGAGUUUCCCAUCUCCUCAAAAUUAUUUCUGUAAAUGAAGGCUAUUCCAUGCGAGAAAUUGCCAAGAAACUGAAGAUCUCAUACUACGCUGUGUACUACUCCCUUCAGAGAACAGCACAAACUGGCUCUAACCAGAAUAGAAAGAGGAGUGGGAGGACCCGGUUUACAACUGAGCAAGAGGACAAGGACAUUAGAGUGUCUAGUUUGAGAAACAGACGCCUCACAGUCCUCAACUCGCAAAACACGAGUCUCAACAUUAACAGUGAACAGGUGAGAUGCUGACCUUCUAUGCAGAAUUUAAAAAAAAGCCAUAUCUCAGACUGGCCAAUAAAAAGAAAAGAUUAAGACGGCAAAAGAACACAGACACUGGACAGAUGAACUCUCGUACAACUAGAGGUCUCUUUACAGUCCCCAGCUACAGAACAGUGGAUGGGAAACGCACAGUAUUAAAUGGAGCUACGACUACUCUCUGCCACCCCAGUUUUCUUGAAAGCACCAUAAAUCCAGAGAAUGACAGAAUUAAUUGAUGGCAAAAUGUGAUGACAAACUUUGUCCACGAAGGACUGCCACGCCACCUUCCUGUUCAAGAGAGCACAGCACAACAAGGCAGAAUACAGUAAGAAUGGCCCAUGUUCUGAAUUCUGCAAUGGCCAUCCUAGUCCCCUGACCUAAACCCCAUUGUAAACCUGUGGGGUGAGCUGACGAGGAGAGUCCAUAAGCGAGGACCAUGGACUCUAAAGGAUCUGGAGAGUUUCUGUACGGAGGAAUGUUCUCAAAUCCCUUACUACGUGUUCUCCCACCUCAUUAAACAUUAUAGGAGAUGACUCAGAGCUGUUAUCUUAGCCAAGGGAGAGUGCCCAAAGUACUAAAUUCAGGGAUUCCAAUAAUUUUAACUCAAUUAAGGGUUAGAUUCGUAUGAUAUUUUGAGUGUAAGAUCAAGCUGAUAAACAGCAAUGACAUUUAGUUCAGACUUUUUUGUUCAUAAUUUACCUAGGGUGCCAAUAAUUCAGGAGGGCGCUGUAACUCUUUCAUACUAGUCAUACGCACACAUGAAGGGUCUACAGUAUGUAUGAAUUCUAUGCAGCCAAUGUAAAGUAAUUUGUAUUUUCCCAUUCAUAAUAGCUAAGCACUUCUUGGUAAUCAACUGUAAACUUUGCCGCUGAUCGAUAACACCAACAUUAAAGGUAUAUGCAUGAAUUGUAUGCAGUCAAUGUAAAGUAAAUUCUAUAGUAUUUUCCCCAUCAUAAAACAUUUAUAAAGCAUAUAUAAAGAUGCCUCACUUAUCAAAAGUCAAUAAUACGGACACAACACAGAAUGUUAAAGGAAAUAUUAACAUUUUAUUGAAAUUGUUCAGAUAUAGCUAGCACAGAAAACAAUUGCUGAGGACUUGGCCGAAGAAAACUAAAUGUUUGACUUUUCAUGAAUGGAUUUAAAAAGAUUCAUAUUCAAACCAUUCAAAUUCAAUUCCCCACUAUUUUAGUGAGUAAAACAAACCAACACUAGGUGGUAAAGCUAGCUAGCAUUCCCUCAUUAUGCACUAUAAAUAUAAGCUAGUAGCUAGCUAAGCCCUUGUAACAAUCGUCAACACGUUCGACUCAGUCAAUAAACGUUACAAAAUCGUCUUAGCUUUUUGUGAAAGCGAGAGAUCACCAGGAUCUUUUGCACUAUUUUAAGACUCGCAUUGUAGUUUUGCACAUUGCCAACCUUUAACAACAGGACAAACAACAGAAAAAAAAUGUCAUGACGUUCUUUCCAUUUUGGCUGCACAGGAGGAGAGUGUGAGAG
rnacentral:lncRNA from 1 species